GAGAGAGAGAGAGAGAGAGUUCUGAGAGAGGUGAAACAGAGUUCUCUGGCUCUUGUUCUUGAUAUUAUUGAUUAUGUUCAAGUUCGUUCUUCUUUUUGUUUGAGAGAAUUCACCUGUCUUUUGCAGAGCUCUGUGAAAAACAGAUUAAGAUGGGUGACAAAGCUGAAACUUUGGAGGCUGUGUUGAAGGAAGCUGUGGAUUUGGAGAACGUGCCAAUUGAAGAGGUUUUUCAAACUCUGAGGUGUAAUUCAAAUGGUCUCACUACAGAGGCUGCUGAGCAGAGACUUGCCAUUUUUGGAUAUAAUAAGCUUGAGGAAAAGCAGGAGAGCAAGAUUUUGAAGUUCUUGGGUUUUAUGUGGAAC
rnacentral:misc_RNA from 1 species